UCCAGUGACUGAGUACUCCAUCAAAGGCAUACUGUAGGGCUGGCAUGUCUUGUCUACUAGCUUCAAUAUGAAUCCGAUUAAAUGUGAUGGGGUCAAGGCCCCAUUUCAUCAGCACAUAACGGCGAUGAUGAGGAGGAGACCAUCUCGCUGGAUUCCAAAAGGCAUAAGGACCCAGAGUCAUUGGUGCACUGGACUGCACAAACAUAAGGAUAAAAGCCCCCUCAGGUGCCCAUGAGGCAGAUUUUGUAAAUAUGAAAUCUUUUUACAGCAUUAAUGUUCAGGUGAACAUAACUUUUUGAUAUUUUCCAUUGAACACUGGCAAAAUGGCCUGGCUCAGUCCAUGACUCCAGAAUCUUUUGGACCUCUGAAAUCUAUCAGCGCCUAUCACAAGGUGAAUUCUCUGGUGUGUUUCUGGUAGACAGGGGGUAAGGCUGCCAGCUGUUUUUCCUGACACCUUUCACAGACCCCCAGGAAGCACAGC